AGCUCCAAUAGCGUAUAUUAAAGUUGUUGCAGUUAAAAAGCUCGUAGUUGGAUUUCUGGUCGGGGCCAACGGCGCGCUUCUCGCGCGCCCGCGUCCCCGCCCAUCCGUCGGUCAAGCCGGUAUGGCAUUCUUUUGCUGACCGGUGGCUCCGGCAAUUUACCUUGAGAAAAUUAGAGUGUUUCAGGCAGGCUCGCGCCGGGAUACAUUAGCAUGGAAUAAUGGAACAUGACUUUAGUCUCUUCUGUUGGUUUGAGGGAUUUGAAGUAAUGAU
rnacentral:rRNA from 1 species